AUGGCGACCGGCGCACGGGUGAGUAACACGUAUCCAACCUGCCGAUAACUCGGGGAUAGCCUUUCGAAAGAAAGAUUAAUACCCGAUGGUAUAAUCAGACCGCAUGGUUUGAUUAUUAAAGAAUUUCGGCUAUCGAUGGGGAUGCGUUCCAUUAGGCAGUUGGUGAGGUAACGGCUCACCAAACCUUCGAUGGAUAGGGGUUCUGAGAGGAAGGUCCCCCACAUUGGAACUGAGACACGGUCCAA
rnacentral:rRNA from 1 species